UCAGACGAUGCGUCAUGCAUAUCAAUAAGCGGAGGAAAAGAAACUAACAAGGAUUCCCCUAGUAACGGCGAGUGAAGCGGGAAGAGCUCAAAUUUGAAAUCUUAAAGGGUUUCCCUUUACGAAUUGUAGUUUAAAGAAGUGUUUUCUGUUGAGGUUUUGGUAAAAGUUCUUUGGAAUAGGACAUCAUAGAGGGUGAGAAUCCCGUAUUUGACCUUUACUUUCAACUUUGUGAUACACUUUCAAAGAGUCGGAUUGUUUGGGAAUGCAGUCCAAAAUGGGUGGUAAAUUUCAUCUAAAGCUAAAUAUUGGCGAGAGACCGAUAGCGAACAAGUACCGUGAGGGAAAGAUGAAAAGAACUUUGAAGAGAGAGUUAAACAGUACGUGAAAUUGUCAAAAGGGAAGCGUUUGACACCAGUGUUGUUUUUCUGAAAAUCAAUUAAAGAACUGUUUAUGCUAAGCUGUUUAGACUUUAUCAGCUAUCUGUUUAGUUUUGAGCUUUUCUUUAAUGCACUUUUCAGUUAACAAGUCAACAUCAAUUUCUUUUGCUGUAAAAAAGCUUGAGGAAGGUGGCUUGAGAUUCGUCUUAAGUGUUUAUAGCCUCUUGCCUAUGCAGUCGGAGAGAUUGAGGUCUGCAGCGUAGAUCCUUCGGGGCUAAAUGCAUUUGUGCUAAGUUAUAGCAUUUCAUAGACAACUUGUUGACUAUGAUUUGUCUUGUAGCUUACUCGCUUAUGUUAUUUUACCUACGCUUAGGAUGUUGACACACGCGCGUGCUCG
rnacentral:rRNA from 1 species